rnacentral:rRNA from 1 species
GAUUGAACGCUGGCGGCAGGCCUAACACAUGCAAGUCGAGCGGUAGCACAGAGAGCUUGCUCUCAGGUGACGAGCGGCGGACGGGUGAGUAAUGUCUGGGAAACUGCCUGAUGGAGGGGGAUAACUACUGGAAACGGUAGCUAAUACCGCAUAACGUCGCAAGACCAAAGUGGGGGACCUUCGGGCCUCAUGCCAUCAGAUGUGCCCAGAUGGGAUUAGCUAGUAGGUGGGGUAACGGCUCACCUAGGCGACGAUCCCUAGCUGGUCUGAGAGGAUGACCAGCCACACUGGAACUGAGACACGGUCCAGACUCCUACGGGAGGCAGCAGUGGGGAAUAUUGCACAAUGGGCGCAAGCCUGAUGCAGCCAUGCCGCGUGUGUGAAGAAGGCCUUCGGGUUGUAAAGCACUUUCAGCGGGGAGGAAGGCGUUAAGGUUAAUAACCUUGGCGAUUGACGUUACCCGCAGAAGAAGCACCGGCUAACUCCGUGCCAGCAGCCGCGGUAAUACGGAGGGUGCAAGCGUUAAUCGGAAUUACUGGGCGUAAAGCGCACGCAGGCGGUCUGUCAAGUCGGAUGUGAAAUCCCCGGGCUCAACCUGGGAACUGCAUUCGAAACUGGCAGGCUAGAGUCUUGUAGAGGGGGGUAGAAUUCCAGGUGUAGCGGUGAAAUGCGUAGAGAUCUGGAGGAAUACCGGUGGCGAAGGCGGCCCCCUGGACAAAGACUGACGCUCAGGUGCGAAAGCGUGGGGAGCAAACAGGAUUAGAUACCCUGGUAGUCCACGCCGUAAACGAUGUCGAUUUGGAGGUUGUGCCCUUGAGGCGUGGCUUCCGGAGCUAACGCGUUAAAUCGACCGCCUGGGGAGUACGGCCGCAAGGUUAAAACUCAAAUGAAUUGACGGGGGCCCGCACAAGCGGUGGAGCAUGUGGUUUAAUUCGAUGCAACGCGAAGAACCUUACCUGGUCUUGACAUCCACAGAACUUUCCAGAGAUGGAUUGGUGCCUUCGGGAACUGUGAGACAGGUGCCGCAUGGCUGUCGUCAGCUCGUGUUGUGAAAUGUUGGGUUAAGUCCCGCAACGAGCGCAACCCUUAUCCUUUGUUGCCAGCGGUUAGGCCGGGAACUCAAAGGAGACUGCCAGUGAUAAACUGGAGGAAGGUGGGGAUGACGUCAAGUCAUCAUGGCCCUUACGACCAGGGCUACACACGUGCUACAAUGGCAUAUACAAAGAGAAGCGACCUCGCGAGAGCAAGCGGACCUCAUAAAGUAUGUCGUAGUCCGGAUUGGAGUCUGCAACUCGACUCCAUGAAGUCGGAAUCGCUAGUAAUCGUAGAUCAGAAUGCUACGGUGAAUACGUUCCCGGGCCUUG